rnacentral:rRNA from 1 species
GAGUUUGAUCAUGGCUCAGAAUCAACGCUGGCGGCGCGCUUAACACAUGCAAGUCGGACGAGAAAGUGGAGCAAUCCAUGAGUACAGUGGCGUACGGGUGAGUAACACGUGGGUAAUCUGCCUUUUAGUGGGGAAUAACCCUGGGAAACCGGGGCUAAUACCGCAUAAUCUCGAGAGAGGAAAGUCGCAAGACGCUGAAAGAGGAGCCCGCGGCCGAUUAGCUAGUUGGUGGGGUAAAGGCCCACCAAGGCAGAGAUCGGUAGCCGGCCUGAGAGGGCACACGGCCACACUGGCACUGAAACACGGGCCAGACUCCUACGGGAGGCAGCAGUGGGGAAUCUUGCACAAUGGGGGAAACCCUGAUGCAGCGACGCCGCGUGAGCGAUGAAGCCCUUCGGGGUGUAAAGCUCUUUCGGCAGGGAAGAUGAUGACGGUACCUGCAGAAGCAGCUGCGGCUAACUACGUGCCAGCAGCCGCGGUAAUACGUAGGCAGCGAGCGUUGUUCGGAGUUACUGGGCGUAAAGGGUGUGUAGGCGGUUCUUUAAGUUUGGUGUGAAAUCUCCCGGCUUAACCGGGAGGGUGCGCCGAAUACUGAGGGACUCGAGUGCGGGAGAGGAAAGUGGAAUUCCUGGUGUAGCGGUGAAAUGCGUAGAUAUCAGGAGGAACACCGGUGGUGUAGACGGCUUUCUGGACCGUAACUGACGCUGAGACACGAAAGCGUGGGUAGCAAACAGGAUUAGAUACCCUGGUAGUCCACGCCCUAAACGAUGCAUAUUUGGUGUGGGUCAUUCAGUUGAUCCGUGCCGGAGCUAACGCGUUAAAUAUGCCGCCUGGGGAGUACAGUCGCAAGGCUGAAACUCAAAGGAAUUGACGGGGGCCCGCACAAGCGGUGGAGCAUGUGGUUUCAAUUCGACGCAACGCGAAGAACCUUACCUGGGCUCGAACGGGUAGUCAACGGCGGUGGAAACAUCGCUACCCCGCAAG